GUCUAUGGCCAUACCACCCUGAAUGUGCCUGAUCUCAUUUGAUCUCAGAAGCUAAGCAAGGUCAGGCCUGGUUAGUACUUGGUUGGGAGACUGCCUGGAAAUACCAGGUGCUGUAGGCU
rnacentral:rRNA from 1 species